rnacentral:lncRNA from 1 species
GCGGCGGCUGUCAAAGCCAAAAGGUUUUCGCUUUUCCCUGGGAUCGCUGGGAAGUGUAGUCUUCCCAUGGCAGGCAAUCCGGCUUCCGGGGCUGGAGAGGGGUCUGGGAUGCCCUCUGCCGAGGUGGAGUCCGCCCUGCAAGGCCCUGGCGGGAAGGGCCAGACGGAUGGAGAGGGGCACACCUCCCGUCUGUCAGUCUUUCUUUCAGCAUGGAAGGAGCACCCACUGUAUGCCAGGCACACUGCCAGGCGCUGGAGAUACAGAGAGAAAUAAACGGUGAUUCUACACGGGACAGUUAAGUGAUUCCUGCCGCGGUGGGGUUUCACACUAUACGAUGUGGCAUUAAGGAGUAGGGAUUUGGAGGGACAUCUAGGGGAUCUGGGAAGACUCAGUGGGAGAAGGUGGUAUUUAAUUUGAGCGUUUAAAAAUGGGUAGGAUUUUCACGAGCAGAGAUUGAGGGAGCAGGAUGAAAGGGGAGGAAGAGUUUUUCCAGGCUGCAAACCAGCGGAGCAGGGUCCAAAAGGGGAAAGUGCAGUUGUCUUAUUUUCUCCUGCGCCUGCGAUCUGCGGGCAGGUAAGAGCCAGUGGGUCUUCUCCCAUCUGAACCUGUUUGUGCCCUUGAGGCUCUACUUGAAUCCUUAUGGCUCCUCUGAUUUUCUGCACCAUCAGCCAGACUGAGGAGAAAUGGCUGUUGAUAGCUUUAAAGUGUUAACACUCCGAAAAGUAUCUCUAUAUUAACUGGUAAGAGCUUAAAGCCUUGAACCAAAAGCGUUAGAGUUCUAAUAGCUUAAAGGAGAAAAGCCGGUAUGGUUUUAACAAUAUAUUGUUUAUCAAAUGUGGAAAGCCAUUGAUAAAAUUCAGCAGUUACUCUGAUUUAAUUUUUUUAAAAAAUGAAAGGGAAUCUUCAUUUUUCUUUUGAAAAGGAGACUUGCUCUGUCACCCAGGCUGGAGUGCAGUGGCAUGGUCUCAAGUCUGCAACCUCCGCCUCCCGGGUUCAAGCAGUUCUCAUGCCUCAGCCUCUGAGUAGCUGGGAUUACAAGCAUGCGCCACCAUACCCAGCUAAUUUUUGUAUUUUUAGUAGAGAUGGGAUUUCACCAUGUUGGCCAGGCUGGUCUCGAACUCCUGGCCUCAAGUGAUCCGCCCACGUCGGCCUCCCAAAAUGCUGGGAUUAUAGGCAUGGACCACUGUACCCAGCCAGGAAACUUUUUAAACAAGAUAACGACAACAACAACAAAUGUAGUAAUAACAGGCUACGUUACUCCCAUUAAAGGCAGGCUUUGGAAAGGAAAGAUCAUUAUCUCUACUCUUUUUUUUUUUUUUUUUGAGAAGGCGUCUCGCUUUGUCGCCCAGGCUGGAGUGCAGUGGUGGGAUCUCAGCUCACUGCAAGCUCUGCCUCCCGGGUUCAGGCUAUUCUCCUGCCUCAGCCUCCCGAAUAGCUGGGACUACAGGCGCCUGCAACCACGCCCCGCUAAUUUUUUGUAUUUUUAGUAGAGACGGGGUUUCACCGUGUUAGCCAAGAUGGUCUCGAUCUCCUGACCUCGUGAUCCUCCCGCCUCGGCCUCCCAAAGUGCUGGGAUUACAGGCGUGAGCCACCGCGCCCGGCCGAUCAUUAUCUCUACUCUUAUCCUACACGGUUCAGACCGGUCUGAUUGACUCAAAAGACAAGAAAAUGGAAAAAGUGUUAUAUAUGUUGGAAAGCAAAGGAAUCAUUAGUUGCAGAUUAUAUGAUAUGGAUAGAAAACCCUAAUCAAUAAGAUGAUUAGACACAAGUUAAAAAAAUCGAAAUCAAAAUAGAGAAAUGUAUCUAUGGGAAUUGUAGAUAUGAUAGAGAUGGCAUUCGUAUUAGAGGAAAAUGGACGCAUUAUUCAAAAACUGUUGUUGGGACGUCUGGCAGCCCAUUUGGAAGGAAAAAAAACCAAAUCCAAUUUCAUUCCUCUGAAAAUAAACUCCAGAUAGAUUAAAGAAUUUAACAUUAAAAUAAAACUACAGGAAAAAUAGAAUAUUUUCAUGAUCUUAUAUUGAAGAAGACCUCCCUAACAAACCCUAGAAGGUAAACAAACCCAAAAACUGGAUGGAUUUGAUGACUUAAAUAUUUAAAACUUCUGUAGAAUCAGAAGUAUUCCAAUACCACCAGUGUUCUAAUUCUGGUUCAAUUAGUAACUGGGAGAGCCCACUCUGGUUACUUACUUUUUGAGUCCUUUUUUUUUUUUUUGAAACAGUCUCACUUUAUCACCCAGGCUGGAGUGCAGUGGCUUCAUCUCAGCUCACUGCAACCUCCUCCUCCUGGGUUCAAGCGAUUCUUGUGCCUCAGCCUCCUGAGUAGCUGGGAUUACAAGCGCACACCACCAUGCCUGGCUAAUUUUUUUUUUUUUUGAGACGGAGUCUCCCUCUGUCACCCAGGCUGGAAUGCAGUGGCAUGAUCUCAGCUCACUGAAACCUCUGCCUCCUCAAGCGAUUCUCCUGCCUCAGCCUCCCAAGUAGCUGGGACUACGGGCACGCGCCAGCACGCCCAGCUAAUUUUUGUAUUUUUAGUGGAGACGGGAAUUCACCAUGUUAGCCAGGCUGGUCUCUAACUCCUUACCUCAAGUUAUCUGCCUGCCUCAGCCUCCCAAAGUGAUGAGAUUACAGGCGUGAGCCAACUUGCCUGGCCCCUUUUUGAGACUUGAUUUUAUCAUUUGUAAAAUGGAGAUAAUGAUAUUAAUAGUUCAAACCUCAAAAGGUAAGAAUUCGAUGAGACAAUCCAUGUAAAGCAUUUAGAAUGGUGUCCAGCAUAUUGUAAGUGCUCAAUAAAGGUCAGCUAUUAGGAUUAUUACUGUUGCAACUACUGAGAAAACUGACAUUUACAAAGUUAAAAGAUCAGUCACAGAUUAAGAAACAACAUUUAUCACACAAUAGAGACAAAGGGCUAAUGUUUAUAAUGUGCAAAGAGCUUCUACAAAUCAAUAUAAAUCCCAAACAACCUGAUAGAAAAAUGAACAAAGGGUAAGGGGAAAGAGUGAGGAAAAACAACAACAAAACACAAAAAAGAAAAGAAAAAGAAAAAUGAACAAAGAAUGUGAACAGUUAAUUCACAGAGGAAAUUCAAAUGGAUGAUAAACAUAAAAAACCUUGAAAAAAGCUUAACUUCGUUAAUAGUUGAAAGAACACAAAGUAAAACAGUAGAUUCUUUGUUCCUUUUUCUUUCUUUCGUCUCCUCUCAGAUUGGUAACAUUUGGUAUUGGUGAAGGUAUUGUUUGGACUGUAAAUUAUUCCAUUUUUGGAGAGUAAUUUGCAAUGCCUAUUAAUAUGUUAAAAAUGCAAACUCUUUGGGCAAUGGCAUUUCUAGGACCCUUUCCAACAAAAACAACAAUAUUUCAGCAGUGUGUACUAUGGCAAAACCUUGGAUUCAAAACAAAUGAAGCUGGGUGUGAUAGUUCACGCCUGUAAUCCAAGCCACUUGGGAGUCUGAGGUGGGAGGAUCGCUUGUGGCCAGGAGUUCAAGACCAGCCUGGAGACAGAGCAAGACCCCAUCUCUUUAAGCAAAACCAAAAAUAAUCAUCAAGCCUGUAAUCCUAGCACUUUGGGAGGCCGAGGUGGGUGGAUCACCUGAGGUCAGGAGUUUGAGACCAGCCUGGCCAACAUGGUGAAAUCCUGUCUCUACUAAAAAUACAAAAAAAUUAGCCAGGCAUGGUGGUGGGUGCCCAUAAUCACAGCUACUUGGGAGGCUGAGGCAGGAGAAUCGCUUGAACCCGGGAGGUGGAGGUUGCAGUGAGCCGAGAUUGCACCACUGCACUCCAGCCUGGGUGACAGAGCAAGACUGUCUCAAAAAAAAAAAUUUAGCUAGGUGUGAUGGCACAUGCCUGUAAUCCCAGCUACUUGGGAGGUUGAGGCAGGAGAAUCGCUUGAACCUGGGAGAUAGAGGUUGCAGUGAGCCGAGAUUGCGCCACUGCCCUCCAGUCGGGUGACAGUGAGAAUCGGUCUCAAAAAAAAAAAAAAAAUUAAAUAGGGAACAAGACAUUUGUUCAAUGAAAUCCUAAGUAACCAUUAAAAACAAUGGGAUAGCUUCUUAUAAACUGGCCUUCCAGGCUGGAGUGCAGUGGCACAGUCUUGGCUCACUAAAACCUCCACCUCCCAGGUUCAAGCAAUUCUCUGCCUCAGCCUCCUGAGUAGCUGGGAUUACAGGCGUGUGCCACCAUGUCUGGCUAAUUUUUGUAUUUUUAGUAGAGAUGGGGUUUUGCCAUGUUGGCCAGCCUGGCUAAUUUUUGUGUUUUUAGUAGAGAUGGGGUUUCACCACGUUGGGCAAUUCUCUGCCUCAGCCUCCUGAGUAGCUGGGAUUACAGGCGUGUGCCACCAUGUCUGGCUAAUUUUUGUAUUUUUAGUAGAGAUGGGGUUUUGCCAUGUUGGCCAGCCUGGCUAAUUUUUGUGUUUUUAGUAGAGAUGGGGUUUCACCACGUUGGCCAGACUGGUCUCGAACUCCUGACCUCGUGAUCCACCUGCCUCGGCCUCCCAAAGUGCUGGGAUUACAGGUGUGAGCCACCGCGCCCGGCCUGUUUAUGACAAGUUAAAGAAAGCAUGUCAGGGGCCUGACGUGGUGGCUCACACCUGGAAUCCCAGCACUUUGGGAGGCCAAGGCGCGUGAAUCAGGAGUUCAGGGCCAACCUGGCCAAGAUGGUGAAACCCUGUCUCUACUAAAAAUACAAAAAUUAGCUGGGCGUGGUGGCGGAUGCCUGGAAUCCCAGUUACUCGGGAGGCUGAGGCAGAGAAUUGUUUGAACCCGGGAGGCGGAGGUUGCAGUGAGCCAAGAUCAUGCCAAUGCACUGUAGCCUGGGUGACAGAGUGAGACUACGUAUCAAAAAAAAAAAAAAAGCACAUGUUAGAACAAUAACAUUAUGAUCUCAUUUCUGUAAAAAUUAAAAAGAAUGGGCUGUGCAUAUAUGCAUAAAUAUGUAGGUAUAUACAUUUACAUCUGCAUAAGCAUAAAAAAAUAUGGAAGAUAGCACCCACAGUGUCAACAGUGGUUUCCUUUGAAGUGUAGGGUUUAAUUUCUUCCUUAGUUUGCUCAUUCAUUCAUUCAGUAAAUGUACACUGAGUGCCUACUACACGCUAAGCACUAUUUUAGGCACUGAGGAUACAAUGAUAUGUAAAAUCCCUGUCCUCAUGGAGCUUACACUCUAAUGCAGGAAGACAGACAGUAAAGAAAUAAAAUUAUAGUAUCUUGGAUGGUGAUAUGUGCUAUAGAGAAAAAUAAAAUAGAGAAAGGAGAUGGGAGGGCGGUUUGCAGUUUCAAAUAAAGUGGAUUGAAAGUGUAGAGGGAACAUUUUAUAUCUUUGUAUCCUUAAAUAAUUGGUAGGAUUAUCAAGUGUUUUCCUUUCUUAUCAUGUGAGUAGUUUUCUGUAUAGCCCAAAUAAACAGUAUAAAAAAGAGAAUAAAAAGUUAUUUUUUUCCCAGAAUUAAAAUGCUUGUUUAUUUAUUUGUAUUUA